GAUGAACGCUGGCGGCGUGCCUAAUACAUGCAAGUCGAGCGACGCGGGGACGGGGGAGUAACACGUGGAUAACCUCCUCUAAGACUGGGGUAACUUUCGGAUACCGUACCUAAACCGGAUACUAAUUGUUGGAUCCGGGAUGCUUUCGCUAGUUGUUAAGGUAACGGCUUACAAAGGCAACGAUGCAUAGCGGACCUGGGUGGGUGAUAGGCCACACUGGAACUGAAACACGGUCCAGACUCCUACGGGAGGCAGCAGUAGGGAAUCUUCCGCAAUGGGCGAAAGCCUGACCGAGCAACGCCGCGUGUGUGAUGAAGGUCUUCCGAUCGUAAAACUCUGUUAUUAGGGAAGCGGUACCUAAACAGAAAGCCACAACUAACUACGUGCUAGCCGCCGCGGUAAUAC
rnacentral:rRNA from 1 species